rnacentral:lncRNA from 1 species
UCAGAGCCAAAUAUCAAAACGCGACUCACGCUGGAAUAGCCACCGUACCCGAGAGCACCGCUGCCGGUAAGUUUUCGUUUUUCGUGAUUAUUUGGCCCACCGAGGGCCCUAGGGUUGUUUUAUCGCAGGGACCGAUGCAAGUGUGGUCGAAUUCAGCUGAAAACGGCCAACCCGAGGUGAAUCGCCGCCGCAAGCGGCGGCGCCCUCGUCGGAGCACGGCGGAGCCACCGUGCCAAAAUUCUGAUAUUGGCCAAAAGGGACCCUAGGUCUGAUUUGGGAUUUUUUUGGGACACGUGCAGGUACCAGUAGUGCAUUUCAGUUUUCUGGAAAAAAUUCAGGAAAAUUAGGGACAGCCUGUAGGCACACUGUAGAGUCGAAUUCAGACCCCAAAAUAGGUAAGGACCCCUCACCCUAUUUCCUAUCACGGUAUUAAAGCUAAAUGAAUAAUUAAACUGUACUUUGUGACUUUAUAGAUGUAUAAUUGAUUAAGGUUGCCAAUGGAGCCCGAGUCUGACACAGUGUUGGUCUGUUACUAUUUGAUCUAUUUUUCAAUAUUAAAUGCAGCAUGAUGUCUGAUGUAUUUAUUUUAUGGUCUCG